CAGAAACUAGAAAAACUUUGCCUGAGACUAUGGGCCCACUAUGGGCCCUGAGCAGAGGUAAGCCCAAGAGAAACGACCCUGCACAUUCCUGGUUUGCUUUCUAGGAAGAAUCAGACCCUCCUGAAGCUAAGCUCAUCUCACGGUGGCCCUUGGGACUUGGUGGUCACACUGAAGCCAACGCAUCCCAAAGGCCUCUGAGACCAGGUCUCCUUUUAGGUGGGCUUCUUCUGGUCCCUUCUUAGGAACUCGGCCCUCUGCUCUGUCCUUUUCACAGAGGUUACUUUGAAACGAUAACACCGCACAUAGCUUCAGACCCCAACAGGGACAACCCUGACGUGGAGAAUUGUCAGAAGUGACCAAGUCUUUGAGAGAUUCUUAAUUCACAAGUGAUGCUCUGGUCAAGUGGUCAGGGCUUCAUUCACACCUGGCAGGACUGGCAGAGAUGGCUCAGUCUGGCUUGCAAGAACUGACUGUGCACCUCCUGCUCUCAGACUGGCAGCUUGAAGUCAGCCACGUGGGGGCAUUGUAACCCAGGGAUUGCUGGGUGCUGUAAGAGUCAGUUCCGGGUUCAGCACCAACGCACCUGCUAGAAAUGAGGACCCAGGAGGCCAAGAGCAUUUCAGGGCCAGCAGCAUCAUGGUUGGGAUGUGCUAAGAAGGACUUCCCAGAAAGGUUUGAGUCGGACUUCCAGCCACCAACACAUUCAAAUGAGCACUGUGUUCUAAGAAGCCCCGAGGCCAGUUGGAAGAUGUACCAGUUCCCUUCAGUGGGCCCCCAGCUGACCUAUCGCACCGUUUUGGCUCCUCUGCUGUCAACCUUGACUUCCAGCCUAGACUUCCUCCUCUGAGAAGGCCAAGGUCCUAGGAAUGGAGAUUAGGUGACUUCUUGAACAGAAUUCAGCUGGUUUCAAUGUGGGGAUUAACGUAACCCAAGUGAGCAAUCUACUCUUCUGCAUGGAGAAUACUCUCAGGUGCGUUGUCUAGACGAGUUGUCUCCAGAUAGAGCCGUUCCACACAGAAGGGAGCCGGAAGGAUCGCCACACAAGGGAAAAUACAGACCUCCCAGUAACCCCCUGUGGGUGGAGCUAUAGACUCAAUAAACACUGGCCUGGCAGAGGAGACUUCUCGGUGGAGCUGCUUCCAGGUUGUGCCGGAGACUUGGGAGUACAGCCUUUCUGAGUGCUCACCUACGCCAACGGGGCGGCAGGGCUUUAUGGUUAUGCAACGGUUCAUGUUAUGUAGCGGCCUGUGAGUAACCUCCCAUCCAUGCUCCUGUCGCCGACCCCAAUAAAUUCGUCGGUUCA